rnacentral:rRNA from 1 species
GUCGAACGGCAGCAUGAUCUAGCUUGCUANAUUGAUGGCGAGUGGCGAACGGGUGAGUAAUACAUCGGAACGUGCCCUGUAGUGGGGGAUAACUAGUCGAAAGAUUAGCUAAUACCGCAUACGACCUGAGGGUGAAAGUGGGGGACCGCAAGGCCUCAUGCUAUAGGAGCGGCCGAUGUCUGAUUAGCUAGUUGGUGAGGUAAAGGCUCACCAAGGCGACGAUCAGUAGCUGGUCUGAGAGGACGAUCAGCCACACUGGGACUGAGACACGGCCCAGACUCCUACGGGAGGCAGCAGUGGGGAAUUUUGGACAAUGGGCGAAAGCCUGAUCCAGCAAUGCCGCGUGUGUGAAGAAGGCCUUCGGGUUGUAAAGCACUUUUGUCCGGAAAGAAAUGGCUCUGGUUAAUACCUGGGGUCGAUGACGGUACCGGAAGAAUAAGGACCGGCUAACUACGUGCCAGCAGCCGCGGUAAUACGUAGGGUCCAAGCGUUAAUCGGAAUUACUGGGCGUAAAGCGUGCGCAGGCGGUUGUGCAAGACCGAUGUGAAAUCCCCGAGCUUAACUUGGGAAUUGCAUUGGUGACUGCACGGCUAGAGUGUGUCAGAGGGGGGUAGAAUUCCACGUGUAGCAGUGAAAUGCGUAGAGAUGUGGAGGAAUACCGAUGGCGAAUGCAGCCCCCUGGGAUAACACUGACGCUCAUGCACAAAAGCGUGUGGAGCAAACAGGAUUACAUACCCUGGAUAGUCCACGCCCUAAACGAUGUCGACUAGGUGAUUGGGGAUUCCAUUUACAUUAGCUACGUAGCUAACGACGUGACGUUUGAACCGCCUGGUGAGUAGCGAGUUCGCAAUGAUUUAACAAAACCUCA